GGCGCAGCUGAUCAUCAAUGCCGCGUGCAGGAUGAAGGCCUUCGGGUUGUAAACUGCUUUUGUACGGAACGAAACGGUGGUCUCUAAUACAGGCUGCUAAUGACGGUACCGUAAGAAUAAGCACCGGCUAACUACGUGCCAGCAGCCGCGGUAAUACGUAGGGUGCAAGCGUUAAUCGGAAUUACUGGGCGUAAAGCGUGCGCAGGCGGUCAUAUAAGACAGAUGUGAAAUCCCCGGGCUCAACCUGGGACCUGCAUUUGUGACUGUAUGGCUAGAGUACGGCAGAGGGGGAUGGAAUUCCGCGUGUAGCAGUGAAAUGCGUAGAUAUGCGGAGGAACACCGAUGGCGAAGGCAAUCCCCUGGGCCUGUACUGACGCUCAUGCACGAAAGCGUGGGGAGCAAACAGGAUUAGAUACCCUGGUAGUCCACGCCCUAAACGAUGUCAACUGGUUGUUGGGUCUUCACUGACUCAGUAACGAAGCUAACGCGUGAAGUUGACCGCCUGGGGAGUACGGCCGCAAGGUUGAAACUCAGAGGAAUUGACGGGGACCCGCACAAGCG
rnacentral:rRNA from 1 species